UACGUAGGGUGCGAGCGUUGUCCGGAAUUAUUGGGCGUAAAGAGCUCGUAGGCGGUGUGUCACGUCGUUCGUGAAAACCUGCAGCUUAACUGUGGGCGUGCGGUCGAUACGGGCAUCACUGGAGUUCGGCAGGGGAGACUGGAAUUCCUGGUGUAGCGGUGAAAUGCGCAGAUAUCAGGAGGAACACCGGUGGCGAAGGCGGGUCUCUGGGCCGAUACUGACGCUGAGGAGCGAAAGCGUGGGAGCAAACAGG
rnacentral:rRNA from 1 species